rnacentral:rRNA from 1 species
GGAUUAGAUACCCUGGUAGUCCACGCCCUAAACGAUGUGCACUAGAUCGGGGAGGUUCUGACACCAUCCUGGUCGAAGCUAAAGUGUUUAGUGCACCGCCUGGGGAGUACGGUCGCAAGGCUAAAACUCAAAGGAAUUGACGGGGGCUCACACAAGCGGUGGAGCAUGUGGCUUAAUUCGAAACAACGCGAAGAACCUUAUCCUGGGUUUGACAUGCAUGGAUUAACCGGUGGAAACACUGGCCACGCCCUCACGGGUGGAACAUGCACAGGUGCUGCAUGGCUGUCGUCAGCUCGUGCCG